rnacentral:lncRNA from 1 species
AUGAUGCAAAACUGGAUCCCUAACAUCACAAGGUGGUUCUUUGGACUAUCACAAAAAGUAAAAUUAGAAAAUUACAAAAAGCAAAAGAAAAAUACCCCACUUCUUCUAAACUCAAGGGAUAUUAGCAAUCAUAGACAAGCCCUACUUAAGAACUGGAGACCCAGACCUAUCCUCAGUUUAUUAAAUCCACUCAGAACAUCUUUGCUACGACCUUUUCAUUUCAGGUACUUUAAAGGUAAUUGUGUUUUGGAAAAUUCAGAAGAUAUUGUACAUUUCAGAUUAGACUAAUAUCAUACAUAAAAUGACCCUGUCAAGAAACAAUACACAAGAGUACUUGAAAAAGGUCCGUGAGAAUUUUUUUGAAACAACGGGUCAUUCUUUAGAUUUCCUUCAAUAAAUACUAAGGGGUCCAAUUUAAAAGUCUGUGA